rnacentral:rRNA from 1 species
GAGCGGAUGAGAGGAGCUUGCUCCUCGAUUCAGCGGCGGACGGGUGAGUAAUGCCUAGGAAUCUGCCUAGUAGUGGGGGACAACGUUUCGAAAGGAACGCUAAUACCGCAUACGUCCUACGGGAGAAAGUGGGGGAUCUUCGGACCUCACGCUAUUAGAUGAGCCUAGGUCGGAUUAGCUAGUUGGUAGGGUAAAGGCCUACCAAGGCGACGAUCCGUAACUGGUCUGAGAGGAUGAUCAGUCACACUGGAACUGAGACACGGUCCAGACUCCUACGGGAGGCAGCAGUGGGGAAUAUUGGACAAUGGGCGAAAGCCUGAUCCAGCCAUGCCGCGUGUGUGAAGAAGGCCUUCGGGUCGUAAAGCACUUUAAGUUGGGAGGAAGGGCUUACAGCGAAUACCUGUGAGUUUUGACGUUACCGACAGAAUAAGCACCGGCUAACUUCGUGCCAGCAGCCGCGGUAAUACGAAGGGUGCAAGCGUUAAUCGGAAUUACUGGGCGUAAAGCGCGCGUAGGUGGCUUGAUAAGUUGGAUGUGAAAUCCCCGGGCUCAACCUGGGAACUGCAUCCAAAACUGUCUGGCUAGAGUGUGGUAGAGGGUAGUGGAAUUUCCAGUGUAGCGGUGAAAUGCGUAGAUAUUGGAAGGAACACCAGUGGCGAAGGCGACUACCUGGACUAACACUGACACUGAGGUGCGAAAGCGUGGGGAGCCAACAGGAUUAGAUACCCUGGUAGUCCACGCCGUAAACGAUGUCAACUAGCCGUUGGGAUCCUUGAGAUCUUAGUGGCGCUAGCUAACGCAUUAAGUUGACCGCCUGGGGAGUACGGCCGCAAGGUUAAAACUCAAUGAAUUGACGGUGGCCCGCACAAGCGGUGGAGCAUGUGGUUUAAUUCGAAGCAACGCUAAGAACCUUACCUGGCCUUGACAUG